rfam:Felis catus isolate Cinnamon breed Abyssinian chromosome C2, whole genome shotgun sequence.
GCCUGGCUGGCUCAGUGGGACAGCAUGUGACUCCUCAUCUCAGGGUCAUGAGUUCAAGCCCCAUGUUGGGCA